GACCGACGGCGAGAAAGCGAAACAUGCUAUUCGUCGUAUCGAAGAGAUCACUGCAGAAAUCGAAGUGGGCCGCGUCUACACUGGUAAAGUGACCCGUAUCGUUGACUUUGGCGCAUUUGUUGCCAUCGGCGGCGGUAAAGAAGGUCUGGUCCACAUCUCUCAAAUCGCUGACAAACGCGUUGAGAAAGUGACCGAUUACCUGCAGAUGGGUCAGGAAGUACCGGUGAAAGUUCUGGAAGUUGAUCGCCAGGGCCGUAUCCGUCUGA
rnacentral:misc_RNA from 1 species